UCCAUCAUCGCCUCUAGCAAAUCCUGGAUGACGUUGAAAUGAUCGUGAUUAGUAGUAUAAGAGUAGAGAUCCAUAGAUUCCUCUCAAUGAAAGUACCAACGUAACAAAUGGUCAAACUCCUCAGUAUAUUAAUAAGAACUGAAACACGAUUACAAUUUUGGGAUAGUAAUUGCAAAACUCAACUACUGAAUUACAAUAGAAAUACUGAAAUAACAAGCAACUAAGGAUAUAGAUAAGAAUAGUGAAGAGAAGCUUAGACUUAGAGAAUGGGGAUGAGAGGAUACAAAAACUCAAGAAGAAGAGGUGAGAAGAAU
rnacentral:lncRNA from 1 species